UGCGUGCCUGGCUGUGGGGAGACGAGGAGUCUCGCUGUCUCCAUGGCAACCCAGCCACACGCUCAAUGGUCGUUGUGCACUGUGGCCAAUGGGCCAAUCCUAUAGGCUGGGAAAAUUACAAGAAAACCUGCAGAAUACCAGUCGUCAUAGAGGGAUCAGAAGUGGAGAGAGCGAGCAGUUUCAAGUUCCUGGGUGUCAAGAUCUCCAAAGACCUCACCUGGUCCCAACAUAUCGAUGUAGCUAUAAAGAAGGCAGGACAGCGACUAUACUUCGUUAGGAGUUUGAAGAGAUUUGGAACGUCAACAAAAACACUCAAAAACUUCUAUAGAUGUUCCGUGCGAUAAUAAACCUGAUUCUGAUGCGGGAAAUCCAGAGCAACACCCGCAAAAAUGCUGGAGGCCGGGAAGCAUCGAUGGAAAAGAGUAAACAGUCGACGGUUCAGGCCCAGGUACUUCUCCAGGAUGGGAAAAAAGAUGAGAAGUCAGAUCAAGAAGGCUCUGAUACCUCCUUCCUGGUGGUCGCAAUGAGAAGAGGCCAUCUCCUGGAUGAUGAGAGCCCUUAGUGAUGAAUGCUGCCUUCUGAAGAUGUCCCCGACGCUGGGGCGGGUAGUGCCCACAAUGGAGCUGGCUGAG